AACGCACAUUGCGCCCCCUGGUAUUCCGGGGGGCAUGCCUGUUCGAGCGUCAUUAUCAACCAUCAAGCUAUGCUUGGAAUUGGAUGUCCCCCCCGGGCUUUCCAGGGGAGCGUCUCAAACCGGUCGGCGGUGGCUUCGGGCCCUAAGCGUUAGUAAUACUUGUCGCUUUUCGGUGUCCUCGUAGUCCGCCCGCCCCGAAAACCAAACACCUCAAGGUUGACCUCGGAUCAGGUAGGGAUACCCGCUGAACUUAA
rnacentral:misc_RNA from 1 species